rnacentral:rRNA from 1 species
GGUGAGUAACACGUGGAUAACCUACCUAUAAGACUGGGAUAACUUCGGGAAACCGGAGCUAAUACCGGAUAAUAUUUUGAACCGCAUGGUUCAAAAGUGAAAGACGGUCUUGCUGUCACUUAUAGAUGGAUCCGCGCUGCAUUAGCUAGUUGGUAAGGUAACGGCUUACCAAGGCAACGAUGCAUAGCCGACCUGAGAGGGUGAUCGGCCACACUGGAACUGAGACACGGUCCAGACUCCUACGGGAGGCAGCAGUAGGGAAUCUUCCGCAAUGGGCGAAAGCCUGACGGAGCAACGCCGCGUGAGUGAUGAAGGUCUUCGGAUCGUAAAACUCUGUUAUUAGGGAAGAACAUAUGUGUAAGUAACUGUGCACAUCUUGACGGUACCUAAUCAGAAAGCCACGGCUAACUACGUGCCAGCAGCCGCGGUAAUACGUAGGUGGCAAGCGUUAUCCGGAAUUAUUGGGCGUAAAGCGCGCGUAGGCGGUUUUUUAAGUCUGAUGUGAAAGCCCACGGCUCAACCGUGGAGGGUCAUUGGAAACUGGAAAACUUGAGUGCAGAAGAGGAAAGUGGAAUUCCAUGUGUAGCGGUGAAAUGCGCAGAGAUAUGGAGGAACACCAGUGGCGAAAGGCGACUUUCUGGUCUGUAACUGACGCUGAUGUGCCGAAAGCGUGGGGAUCAAACAGGAUUAGAUACCCUGGUAGUCCACGCCGUAAACGAUGAGUGCUAAGUGUUAGGGGGUUUCCGCCCCUUAGUGCUGCAGCUAACGCAUUAAGCACUCCGCCUGGGGAGUACGACCGCAAGGUUGAAACUCAAAGGAAUUGACGGGGACCCGCACAAGCGGUGGAGCAUGUGGUUUAAUUCGAAGCAACGCGAAGAACCUUACCAAAUCUUGACAUCCUUUGACAACUCUAGAGAUAGAGCUUUCCCCUUCGGGGGACAAAGUGACAGGUGGUGCAUGGUUGUCGUCAGCUCGUGUCGUGAGAUGUUGGGUUAAGUCCCGCAACGAGCGCAACCCUUAAGCUUAGUUGCCAUCAUUAAGUUGGGCACUCUAAGUUGACUGCCGGUGACAAACCGGAGGAAGGUGGGGAUGACGUCAAAUCAUCAUGCCCCUUAUGAUUUGGGCUACACACGUGCUACAAUGGACAAUACAAAGGGCAGCGAAACCGCGAGGUCAAGCAAAUCCCAUAAAGUUGUUCUCAGUUCGGAUUGUAGUCUGCAACUCGACUACAUGAAGCUGGAAUCGCUAGUAAUCGUAGAUCAGCAUGCUACGGUGAAUACGUUCCCGGGUCUUGUACACACCGCCCGUCACACC